AGAGUUUGAUCCUGGCUCAGAAUCAACGCUGGCGGCGCGCUUAACACAUGCAAGUCGCACGAGAAAGGGGGCAACCCUGAGUACAGUGGCGUACGGGUGAGUAACACGUGGGUAAUCUACCUCUGAGUGGGGAAUAACCCUGGGAAACCGGGGCUAAUACCGCAUAAUCUCGAGAGAGGAAAGCAGCAAUGCGCUGAGAGAGGAGCCCGCGGCCGAUUAGCUAGUUGGGAGGGUAAAAGCCUACCAAGGCAAAGAUCGGUAGCCGGCCUGAGAGGGCACACGGCCACACUGGCACUGAAACACGGGCCAGACUCCUACGGGAGGCAGCAGUGGGGAAUCUUGCACAAUGGGGGAAACCCUGAUGCAGCGACGCCGCGUGAGCGAUGAAGCCCUUCGGGGUGUAAAGCUCUUUCGUCAGGGAAGAUGAUGACGGUACCUGGAGAAGCAGCUGCGGCUAACUACGUGCCAGCAGCCGCGGUAAUACGUAGGCAGCGAGCGUUGUUCGGAGUUACUGGGCGUAAAGGGUGUGUAGGCGGUUCUUUAAGUUUGGUGUGAAAUCUCCCGGCUCAACCGGGAGGGUGCGCCGAAUACUGAGGGACUCGAGUGCGGGAGAGGAAAGUGGAAUUCCUGGUGUAGCGGUGAAAUGCGUAGAUAUCAGGAGGAACACCGGUGGUGUAGACGGCUUUCUGGACCGUAACUGACGCUGAGACACGAAAGCGUGGGUAGCAAACAGGAUUAGAUACCCUGGUAGUCCACGCCCUAAACGAUGCAUAUUUGGUGUGGGUCAUUCAGUUGAUCCGUGCCGGAGCUAACGCG
rnacentral:rRNA from 1 species